UGCCAGCCGCCGCGGUAAUACGGAGGGUGCAAACGUGGCUCGGAUUUACUGGGCGUAAAGCGCUCGUAGGCGGAUUGGUCAGUCAGAGGUGAGCGCCCAGGGCUCAACCUUGGAAUUGCCUUUGAUACUGCCAGUCUUGAGUUCGGGAGAGGUGAGCGGAAUUCCGAGUGUAGAGGUGAAAUUCGUAGAUAUUCGGAGGAACACCAGAGGCGAAGGCGGCUCAAUGGACCGAUAAGGAAGCGGAGGAGAGCACGCGUGGGGCGCAAACAGGAGUAGAUC
rnacentral:rRNA from 1 species